GAUUUCUUACAUUUAGUUCAUCAUAGGUCAUCAUGUAGUUGGUCAAUACACCACAUGAGCUAUUUAUGUUUCUUUGCAUUGUUUUUUAACAGUAUGGGAGAGGAAGAAUGGGUGGCAUGUAGAUGCCCAAACAGGUGCCCACACACAGCACAUAGAAAGAGGCGUAGCAUUAAGGAGCAAGUGUGGAGGCAAAGAGGUGAUCACAGCGAAUGCUUUGUGUCUGACCAUCUUUGUCUUAUAGAGGGACUCAAUGGCUAAGCAGGAACACAGAGACGGUCCUCUUGGUAGGACACUACAUGAUGUAGCUAACAGGUACAGGGUGUAGGCUACAAUGGAGGCUAAAUAGUGGGAGUGGAUCACAGUUUCAUUUCCAUUGCUGCCCCUGAAAAGGUUCGCUGAGUUUAGAGAUCAGAAUACAGGAAAGCACAUGGUGAUUUUACUGGGAAAUAUCUAGAUGCCGUCCAUGACUUGAUGUUGUGCUGAUGGACCAUGUUUUAAAAAAAGUUAAACCGUUAAAUGUUCAGAGGAAUAAAAAUAAUGAUAAUCUACCUCAGUUUUAUCAUGCACUUUAAGGUAGUUUCAAUGUUUUUGAUAAUAUGCCUCGAUUUUUACAGAUCCUGAGAGUGUUUUUAUUUUUUACAUUUGUAGUCCACAGCAAUAAAUAAAACUAUUUUGGCCGUCACAGUUGAAACACUUGUACUAUGUUUUUUUUCUUCCCAUUAAGUGAGGGACUGUAAUGAAGCCAUUUGUACUGCCUAAACCAAGUGUCCUGAAUUCUGAGUGUCUUUUUUUCAGGGACUGAGUUUCAAUAAAGUGGGUAUUGGGCUGGUGUGGGCAGGUACCGAGCUCCUCCUCACGCUGAUCUAAACCACUGCCUCCUGUGCCUGGUUCUGUCUCUCUUUCCCUGUCAGUCUCCUGAAAUAUAUGUAUGUAACAUGUAGCGUUGGAAAAACCACCAAGAAAUCAUACACAAGAUGCAGGUACCUGCAAUGCCUUACUUAGCUACAUACUUAAAAUGACUGUCUAUGUGCAACACUAAAUUGCAUUCAUUUCACAUUAAUUUCUCACCUGAUCAUCUGCAUGUCCAGAGCUUGUCCCUGUGUGGCCACUGCUUUUAACUUGCCUGUCUCUUUCCCCGUCUCUCUGUGACGCCUGCAUUGUGACCACAUGUCAUUUUAUCAGAAAAACAGCAACUCGUGCUGCCCACUUCGACCGAACGCGGGCCAAACCAUUAACAUGAUAGGGAAGGGUGGCGGUGACGAUCCCACCGGCCGGCGGUACGGUCGAUGUAUGUACAUAGGUAUAUUUUACAUAUUUUCUGCUGUAUAUUGGGGGGGACAGAUUGGUACCUUUUCAAUAUUGGGGGGGACACGACCCCCCCAAAGAAUGCGUGGUUACGCCUAUGGACCAUCACAUGUCCAUCACAUCAGGACUCCUGUCCAUCAAACCACAUGUGCAGAGAACCCAUCCAAACCACGGCGAAGGAGGAGAAGCUGCUGUUGGAGGACGUCCUCCUCAUAGACAUUCUCAGAUAUCUGCAGCAGCAGAAGCAAACAAGAGACAGCGAGACAGGAGACGACUGCAGGUGAGAGACAAAUAGCCCCAAUACCCCGUCCCCCCCAGAGGACAAAUAUCCAGCAGGUAGAGACCGUUCAAUGGGUCUCCAGCAGACAACGUGGGGACAAUAGAGGACAUGUAUGUUAUAUAUGUGGACAGGAGGACCAUUGGUGCAGAGAGUGUCCCAGGAGUUCUGAAAGGGAAAUGCGACCAAACGCUCCACCACGGCUGUUCUAUACAACGCAGCCCGGCAGAACCAGAGGACGGGUCCACCUCCCCCCCUCAUACAACCCCCAUAACAACUAACUGGUGACACACCGACGCCCACUGCUUCCCAACAGCCCAGAUAAGCAGCCUUAGUCUCCCCAGUUUACGACUCACAUUCCAGGUAGAAGGAGGGAGAAUAGAGAGUACAGACUAUUGAGAGUGUCAGAAAAUAGAUUUACAACCAGUACGAAACAUUGAUUUACUAAUAGAGGGAAACUGUCAGUAACAAUGAGACACGGUUGUGAAAGAUUUAAAUGAGGAAUGAAGGUGAUGAGAAUUGUAGUACAUAGUUUUUUGUAUUAAUGUUUGUAGUUUUUUAGUCUCCUCCUAAACUCAGAGAUGGGCUGUAAAUUGUUGAGUGCUGCUAUUGAGUGUAAAGUGCACGAUACACUUGAUACAGUAUCUGGAUGAUGGAAGCAAACGUCUGAUCAAAGGAACAUUGAUAGCAGCAGUACAUGAAAUAGGGAAACUUGUUAGACGGUCAUCCUGUAAUGGUACAACAAGUAGUACACACUGGAAGCGAAUGGCGUAAACAAACAGAUGGUCGUCCUUGUUUCAGCCCACUCAGCUCUCUUUCCCUUUCUCACUCCGUUGAGGUCGAAAGUCUUUCGGAGACCCUUUUAAAAAUCCUGGAUGGAAUUUGUUC
ensembl:lncRNA